rnacentral:rRNA from 1 species
GGGGGUGAAAGGCCAAUCAAACCGGGAGAUAGCUGGUUCUCCCCGAAAGCUAUUUAGGUAGCGCCUCGUGAACUCAUCUCCGGGGGUAGAGCACUGUUUCGGCUAGGGGCCAUCCCGGCUUACCAACCCGAUGCAAACUGCGAAUACCGGAGAAUGUUAUCACGGGAGACACACGGCGGGUGCUAACGUCCGUCGUGAAGAGGGAAACAACCCAGACCGCCAGCUAAGGUCCCAAAGUCAUGGUUAAGUGGGAAACGAUGUGGGAAGGCCCAGACAGCCAGGAUGUUGGCUUAGAAGCAGCCAUCAUUUAAAGAAAGCGUAAUAGCUCACUGGUCGAGUCGGCCUGCGCGGAAGAUGUAACGGGGCUAAACCAUGCACCGAAGCUGCGGCAGCGAC